rnacentral:tRNA from 1 species
CAAAUUAGAGCUUGUUUAAAGUAUUUCAUUUACAUUGAAAAGAAAUUAAAAGAUGUUAAUUAAUUUGA